rnacentral:sRNA from 1 species
GCCAGGCGCAGUGGCCACGCCUGUAAUCCCAGUGCCUCAGGAGGCUGAGGCAGGAGGAUCGCAAGUUCAAAGCCAGCCUCGGCAAUUUAGUGAGGCCCUAAGAAGCUUAGUGAGACCCUGUCUCUA